UCCAGACUGCUGUGGGUGAUGAGGGUUGGUGGGGACAGUGUGUGGGUGGGUUGGUUAGGGUGAGGUCUUUCUUCCAGACUGCUGUGGGUGAUGAGGGUUGGUGGGGACAGUGUGUGGGUGGGUUGGUUAGGGUGAGGUCUUUCUUCCAGACUGCUGUGGGUGAUGAGGGUUGGUGGGGACAGUGUGUGGGUGGGUUGGUUAGGGUGAGGUCUUUCUUCCAGACUGCUGUGGGUGAUGAGGGUUGGUGGGGACAGUGUGUGGGUGGGUUGGUUAGGGUGAGGUCUUUCUUCCAGACUGCUGUGGGUGAUGAGGGUUGGUGGGGACAGUGUGUGGGUGGGUUGGUUAGGGUGAGGUCUUUCUUCCAGGCUGCUGUGGGUGAUGAGGGUUGGUGGGGACAGUGUGUGUGGGUUGGUCAGGGUGAGGUCUUUCUUCCAGGCUGCUGUGAGUGAUGAGGGUUGGUGGGGACAGUGUGUGGGUGGGUUGGUUAGGGUGAGGUCUUUCUUCCAGGCUGCUGUGAGUGAUGAGGGUUGGUGGGGACAGUGUGUGGGUGGGUUGGUUAGGGUGAGGUCUUUCUUCCAGGCUGCUGUGAGUGAUGAGGGUUGGUGGGGACAGUGUGUGGGUGGGUUGGUUAGGGUGAGGUCUUUCUUCCAGGCUGCUGUGAGUGAUGAGGGUUGGUGGGGACAGUGUGUGUUGGUUAGGGUGAGGUCUUUCUUCCAGACUGCUGUGGGUGAUGAGGGUUGGUGGGGACAGUGUGUGUGGGUUGGUUAGGGUGAGGUCUUUCUUCCAGACUGCUGUGAGUGAUGAGGGUUGGUGGGGACAGUGUGUGGGUGGGUUGGUUAGGGUGAGGUCUUUCUUCCAGGCUGCUGUGAGUGAUGAGAGCUUUACUGUAAAAACAAAGAGGUGAGCUAAACGGGAAACACUGCCUCUUCAUUACAAUAAGUAGAAAAAUAAAUACAACCCACGCGUGUGGCUGAAAUAGCACCCUAUAUUCCCUAUCUAGUGCACUACUUUUCACCAGAGCCCUAUGGAACCUGCUAAUAAGUAGUGACCUACAUGGGGAAUAGUGUGCUAUUAAGGGACGCAACCUUCAGGCUGAAAUACCACACAUCUCUCUGUCUGUCUGUCUGUCUGUCUGUCUGUCUGUCUGUCUGUCUGUCUGUCUGUCUGUCUGUCUGUUUGUCUCUGCCUGUUUGUCUGUCUGUUUGUCUCUGUCUGUUUGUCUCUGUCUGUUUGUCUCUGUCUGAUUGUCUCUGUCUGAUUGUCUCUGUCUGUCUGUUUGUGUCUGUCUGUCUGUUUGUCUCUGUCUGUCUGUCUGUUUGUCUGUCUGUUUGUCUCUGUCUGUCUGUCUCUGUCUGUCUCUGUCUGUCUGUCUGUCUCUGUCUGUCUC